UACGGAGGAUCCGAGCGUUAUCCGGAUUUAUUGGGUUUAAAGGGUGCGUAGGCGGCGUGAUAAGUCAGUGGUGAAAGUUUGCGGCUCAACCGUAAAAUUGCCAUUGAUACUGUCGUGCUUGAGUACAGAUGAGGUAGGCGGAAUGUGUCAUGUAGCGGUGAAAUGCAUAGAUAUGACACAGAACACCGAUUGCGAAGGCAGCUUACUAAAGUGUAACUGACGCUGAGGCACGAAAGCGUGGGGAUCAAACAGG
rnacentral:rRNA from 1 species